UAUAACAAUCGAAGCAACUAGUGGCCUACGUGACUUGCAGAGGUCAGAGGUCUUCCCAACGUGGACUGAUAAUUGAUUAUCAUUCACAGGAUGUUGGGCUUGUCUGAACAGAACUGUUGUACAUGCUGUAGCAAGAGGUUCGGCUCUUCUUUGCUGUAGAUUACAUGUGAAAAGGGUUUUUGCUAUGGGCCUGAGCCAACUUCCCGCAACUCACUCGAAGACGACAGCCUGCCCGGCUACGUGCUAACUCAACUAACGGGCGUUCUACCGAUCAUGAGAAACCACUCGGUAAGUCAAAAUGUAUUCACAUUUUUAUGAAUGAGUUAUUGUUGCAAUAUUUUGAACAUUCACCAAGCAUAAUACCAAUACGUUAUGUAAGGACAAUUACUGUGUGGUAUGUGUUUUACAACAAUGCCCUGGUCGAGCUUGGAAUGCUGACUUUUACUAGCCUCAUAUUUGCGGUAUCAUGCUAUACAGCUGAUUCAAGUGUGUCUCAGUUUAGGGUAGCAAAGCCCACAAACUAGAGGCCGGAACAGCGUUCGAAAUCGCACAGCACAGAUCUACUGAUUUUGAAUACUUGCCGUCUCAAGUUGGUGUAGGGCUAGUAAAUAGGCUUCCUAAAAAGAUCAAAUAUGUCAAUGAUCACAAAGAAGUUAAAUAUUGACCCAAAAAUUUCCUAGUGUCAGGGGUUUUGUCUGCGUUAGCAAAAUUGUGAUGAGCUGCUGGGAUAUUAUUUAGUAACAAUGAAAAAAUAAUUUUUUUCUGACUCCUAUUUUGUUAUCCAAAGAAAUGUGAGGUAACGAUGACAAGUGACGCGUACCAAAAUGUAAUCUUAAAUUGAUGCUUACAGGUAAGAUAUAUUCACAUGAAAUUGGAUUUUAUUAGUACUUAGUCUUUGACUUAUAUUAUAAAGGACGCUUACAAUACAAGUAUUGUAAAUUGUUUCCGGCAAUAAAUAUUAUUAUUAAAUAUUGUAACUAAAUGUUACAUAAGCAUUUUUCUACCCUUUCUGUCUUAUCAUGUAAUAAUUUAAAUAUAUCUAAUUGGUUAUGUAUUACUAAUUCAUCGAACUUAACAGUCCCGGCAAUUUUGGAGGUAUCAAUGUUGAUCUCUUGCUCAUCAGUACAUCAUGUGACAGUGACGGAGGUUGUACUUGCCAUCUACGAAAAUUAAACCUCACCCACACGCUGUCAUUCUGUGAUUGACUUAAAAGAACCAAUUUAACGAAAUACCUUUUAAUUUAAUGCCAUUUAAUAUAUGAUAAGAACACACUAUUAUUGUUGUUAUUAUUAUUAUUUUUCUCUGUCUUUCUUAUCACGCAUAUUCCACAGUUUCCCAGUUUGGUUAUAGGCUUUCCCACUGAAAUCCGUUUAUUCGGGUUUUAAAGUUGUUUAAUGUCAGAGUUACUCUGGUUUAAAUAGUUUAAUUCAAUGUUAAUUUUAGUUAAAACUCGAUAAGCUGCUGUUGUCUAACCUGUACACAUCUUAGCAUUUUACAAGUUUAGUAACCAUGGCGUUAGGUUUUGGCAUUAUUAAUGGACGUCAUUGUCAACGGUAUUAUUUAGAGAAUUGUGCCACGAUAUGGCCACACCAUUGAACGUAAAAUGUUUCAGUUGGAUACCUUAAACCAACAAUGAGUAAUAAAUAACAUUAAAAAACUCCACACGGAUAGUCAUACAGUAAAACAAGCAAUAUAUGACUAUAUAUUUCUAAUAUGCCUCUUCUUGAGGAGCUGCCAAGAGUUCUUUGUUUUUAUUUCUUUGUUCUUGUGUGUAAAGAAUGUUCUCAGGCACACAAAUCGUUAUCUUUAUUAAUCGAAGUGGAUAUAUGAUUUCAAGGAGUAAACAUUUUGUAUAAAAUGUAACGAGUUUCUACCUAAUUUCUUAUUCCCACAGUUUACCAUCCUUUUUUUCAUUUCAAAGUUACACAUUAAUUUCAUAAAUUUUUUUACAUAAUUGCCAAAUACUCCGUAUAGUUCCUUUCUUUUGUUCAACUAUUUUCUCCGGAGUUAACUCAGAAACAGUGGAUGGGAAACUAAACCAUCAUAUCCAUCUAUCAGAUUUUGGCGGCAAAAAUUGUAAUUUUGGAUAUAUAAAGAAAUCACAAGAUUUUAUUCUGUUUCCUAAUGUUUUGGAAAUUACAUGAGGAAUAAUAAAGAAAUUUCGUAUUAAGUACUUAACUGAAUAACCCUACUUAAGAUUCUAUUUAAUUUGAAUAUGUACCGUCAUUUCAACUUUUAUAUUGCAUUUUCUACAAUAAAUUUUAAAAAGGUUAUUGCUUUCAAUAACAAAAUAUGAAAAGUGUUCUCAUGAAAUAUUGAAUGUUUUGUGCAAUAUUGACCUUUGUUGACUAGUUCGAUUUAAAAUGUUCAUAAUAAACAAAAGUACACAUACCAUAUUGUAAAUUUCUUCAAGGUUAUACCUAGCUGCAUAAGUGAUCAAAGUCAAAACUUGAAUAAUUAACAAUGAAAAUAUAUAUGCCAUUUAACAGGGUUUUACCUCGGAAUAUAACCCUACAGAUCGAGCGCAAUUAAAGCGAAAGCUAUUGAUCAUAAGAGAUUGGUGACCUCAAAACAUCAUCGCUACCAAUUAUCUGAUAAAACCAGAGUAUUCCUUUGAUAAGGGGGUCCCACUAGUUUUACUGGUUUUAAGUUAAAGUUCACUCCGAAACUAGAAAGAAUAUUAUUUUAAUAUUUUAUUUCGUAUAGUUUUUAAAUACACAAUUGAGUAAAUAUUAUUUAAAUAUUAACUUCAAAGGGAACAUAUACACAUUUAUGCAGCAAAUAUUCAUUGUAGUUAAACCAUUUUGCUGUGUUUGAUUGAAUUGAGUAUCAAGAUAAAACGCCUCGUAUCAAGAGUUAAAUCCGUAGCUUUUUAAUUAUGAUAACUAUUUUUGAAAAAUUCCACAUUGAUUUCUUAGAUUUUAUGCAGUAAAAAUGUUCGUUUCCUUUCAAAUUUGUAAAAUUAAAUCUGCAUAGUUUAUCAUUAUGUGUAUUUAAAACUUUAAUGAUACUAAAAAUGGAAAUAAUUUAUAAAUGAUAGUUCAUUAAACUUUAAAUAUAGUACCUUAAACAUUUUGUACGGAAUCUAUAUACAUUUGUAUUUAUAAUUCAUAGAUAUCGUGUCAUGUAUUUAUAUUUGUAUUUUAAAGAUAUAUAAUACACAAGUCGUUCUUUUUAUUCCACAGAGUUUUUGCAUACUCUUCUAAUAUAACUCCUUUUUGUUACUCAUGCUAUAAAUACAUAUAUAAUGGUUACUACAAAUCUGUGAGAGUUGUUCAUAUUUGUACACCCUGUACUAAUUUUAUUUAUUGCCUUAGAUUUUGAUACUGUAUCGCUUUGCUAAUCAAGGUUUUAUAUUAUUAUGUGUUGAAAGAAAUUAAAUUUUAAUUGUUUGCAGGUAACUUUAAGAAAGUUUAAUUGGCCACAAGUUGAUCCAAAAUUGUUGUUACAAUAUUUAUAUUGGUGAACAGUUUAUUUUUUAAAUUUCAUUAGUAUACGAAGUACAUGUUAGUCCAACUGCUUGACAGUUGGUACGUAUGUUAUAAUGUUUUUAUUUCAAAUUAAAAUACGCAUUUAUUAAUUGUACGCUUUUUAGGGUAACAGAAACUGUUUUAUUUUUAAUUUACUAUAAUAAUAUUACAACUUUAUUACAGCAUCUCAAUCACAAUUCAUUAAGUUGACGUAAACGAAAUUUUUCACAGGCUAAGCAAUAUUCUCAGGUUUUCAGUCAUUUUCACGACCCGUUCAGUUUUACUACUGUGAUAAAAGUUAAGGCAUACAUUUCCGCUUCACUUUAUUUUCAAGUUUUAUGUACAUUACAUCUGCACACGCUACAUUCAAGCAUACCACCUUAUUGACAAAGCCAAAUAGAGGUUCAAAAUUUCAGUCGUAAACUGUCCAGGAAAAUACUUAUAUUUACAUAAAUAAACAACGUCUUUUGAUAGUACGUUAUACAAAGUUUUUAAGUUGGAUGUAUUUGCAACAGCUACUGCGUUGUACGCUGACGUUUUAUUGUUAGUGACUUCAAUUGUAAUUUACAAGUUAAAUAUGAAAUAUUUAGUGUUUUGUAUUGGUGGUAUCAAGUAUAAAAGGUCUUGUUUUAGUAUGCCAACUAAACUAGUUUUCGUAGUCCUUUCUUCUUACAAAAAAAUCUCUAUAAUAUUUAAAUUGAAAUAAAGUGUGCGGAACAAAGGCACCUGCACUUGCACUCAACAAAUUAAAUGUGAAAAAUUAAUUUUAGAGAAAUUGCAGACUGUCUCUGUAUAGAUAUAGUUUUGGAAAUUUCGCUUCUUGUUUUGUGCGGAAUUUUACGUAUGUGUCAAAUUUCUUUUUAAAUAUCGUCACAACGAAGUUUUAAGAAUGCAAGGUUACGUCACUCAGAAAAUAGAAAUCGGAAUCAGAAAAUCUUCAUCCUACAUUUUUUGCGCCUCUUGAGUCAUGGUAGUUUAUAUAAGGCAGUAAAUGAUAAGAAAGCCUUCAUCCAAGUCGUUUCGGAUGACGACUAUUUUAUUGCAUAGAAUAAUGGAUCUGAUUAAUUAUGGUUGACAAUAUCACACCUACUCCAAGUUCAUAUCUCCUUUACCUCCUCACUCACUCCAAACUUCUUAAGUUUUACUGUAAUAAAAGUUAAUUCGGUUUGAAAUGCUUGCAUUAAAAAUGUCGAAGCACUUUUUAUUUAAAUAGA
rnacentral:lncRNA from 1 species